rnacentral:rRNA from 1 species
AACGCUAGCUACAGGCUUAACACAUGCAAGUCGAGGGGCAGCAUUUUAGUUUGCUUGCAAACUAAAGAUGGCGACCGGCGCACGGGUGAGUAACACGUAUCCAACCUGCCGAUAACUCGGGGAUAGCCUUUCGAAAGAAAGAUUAAUAUCCGAUAGUAUAUUAAAACCGCAUGGUUUUACUAUUAAAGAAUUUCGGUUAUCGAUGGGGAUGCGUUCCAUUAGUUUGUUGGCGGGGUAACGGCCCACCAAGACUACGAUGGAUAGGGGUUCUGAGAGGAAGGUCCCCCACAUUGGAACUGAGACACGGUCCAAACUCCUACGGGAGGCAGCAGUGAGGAAUAUUGGUCAAUGGACGAGAGUCUGAACCAGCCAAGUAGCGUGAAGGAUGACUGCCCUAUGGGUUGUAAACUUCUUUUAUAUGGGAAUAAAGUAUUCCACGUGUGGAAUUUUGUAUGUACCAUAUGAAUAAGGAUCGGCUAACUCCGUGCCAGCAGCCGCGGUAAUACGGAGGAUCCGAGCGUUAUCCGGAUUUAUUGGGUUUAAAGGGAGCGUAGGUGGAUUGUUAAGUCAGUUGUGAAAGUUUGCGGCUCAACCGUAAAAUUGCAGUUGAAACUGGCAGUCUUGAGUACAGUAGAGGUGGGCGGAAUUCGUGGUGUAGCGGUGAAAUGCUUAGAUAUCACGAAGAACUCCGAUUGCGAAGGCAGCUCACUAGACUGCAACUGACACUGAUGCUCGAAAGUGUGGGUAUCAAACAGGAUUAGAUACCCUGGUAGUCCACACAGUAAACGAUGAAUACUCGCUGUUUGCGAUAUACAGUAAGCGGCCAAGCGAAAGCAUUAAGUAUUCCACCUGGGGAGUACGCCGGCAACGGUGAAACUCAAAGGAAUUGACGGGGGCCCGCACAAGCGGAGGAACAUGUGGUUUAAUUCGAUGAUACGCGAGGAACCUUACCCGGGCUUAAAUUGCAUUUGAAUAAUCUGGAAACAGGUUAGCCGCAAGGCAAAUGUGAAGGUGCUGCAUGGUUGUCGUCAGCUCGUGCCGUGAGGUGUCGGCUUAAGUGCCAUAACGAGCGCAACCCUUAUCUUUAGUUACUAACAGGUCAUGCUGAGGACUCUAGAGAGACUGCCGUCGUAAGAUGUGAGGAAGGUGGGGAUGACGUCAAAUCAGCACGGCCCUUACGUCCGGGGCUACACACGUGUUACAAUGGGGGGUACAGAAGGCAGCUACCUGGUGACAGGAUGCUAAUCCCAAAAACCUCUCUCAGUUCGGAUCGAAGUCUGCAACCCGACUUCGUGAAGCUGGAUUCGCUAGUAAUCGCGCAUCAGCCAUGGCGCGGUGAAUACGUUCCCGGGCCUUGUACACACCGCCCGUCAAGCCAUGAAAGCCGGGGGUACAAGAAGUACGUAACCGCAAGGAGCGUCCUAGGGUAAAACA